CGCAUAUAUUACAAUAGCCCUACACAUGCUUCUACUAAUAAAAUAAAAAAACAGCAAAAUAGAAUAUUAGUAAUUGAAAGUUGUCCAUCUGCAGUUGCGUGUGCUUGAGUCAGACAAACAUAAACUGUAAGAGAACAAAUUCACAUCAAAUUUACGUUUUCAAACUUGAUUCUUUCUCAUUUCCCGUUGGAGUUCACGUUUUAUUCGUCUCUCUUCUUUAACAGUGGAUCUUGCUACUUCUACUACUCACUCUUUAUAUUAAUUUACGUUCUGAUUUUGGGGUUUUUAGAUGGAUGAUGAAGAAGAGGGAGACCUGUGAUAUUUCCGGUAGAGUGAAGAGAUGAUUGACUUUUGCAGUUAGUGCUAGCAAAGGAUGAUGAGAGACAAGAGGGACAUAAGGCCUGUAAUCUUGAAAUUUGGGGUUGCUUUAGCUCUCUCACUUGGUGGAAUUAUCUUUACUUUUUUUUUGAAACAAAAGAAUCAAGCCCUCCAAUUCUUCUCCGUCUUCCAAUUCAGGUGGUAAAAAAGGUAAGCUCAAAAAUGAUGAUCAGAAGACUCCGACCUCACGCAAUUCAGUUUUUGAUGUGCCAGAGAGAGAUGUUAAGUUUAUUUGACUGGUGAUUCUUAUUUUGAUCUUCUGAAUUCUUACUUGAUUUUAGGUUUUUGUUAGAUUUUGUUGGAUUUGAAGGGUUGACUCUGUUGUUUAUAUAUUGAUUCAAUUUCUCAGCAUAGAAUGUAUUAGUUGUUAACUGAUUGCUUUAAUAGGUGUUAAAUUAGGAAGGGUAGAAUAAACUGUAGAAAUGAUUAAUUAUUGUUGGAAGAGCUCCCUGUAAUUGAUACAUUUGAGCUAUGAUCACAAUGUUCAACCAAUGAAUUUUACCUUAUUUGAAUUGGGGCAUCGCAGUAUAACUCCUGCUUUGUAGCUUCAUCUUAUUUUCUACUUGUUUUAUCUACAGUAACUGAAAACACUAUUGACUUUAAUGUUUCAUGGAGUCCUAGUAUUUUGAUUAAUUCUGUAAUUUUGAAUAGAUUGAUUCCUAAAAAAUCUGAACUUUUAUCCUUUUCCCCUCCUUCCCCUUUUCCGUCUGAUUAUGCUUUUGAUGUGCUUAACAUAGUUUACUUUGGAAUAGCCAGAAAAAUAGAACGCAUAGUUCUGAAAAAAGGGAGCCCAGUGCACUAAGCUCCAGCUAUAUACGGGGUCCGCGGAAGGGCUAGACCACAAGGGUCUAUUGUACGCAGCCUUACCCUGCAUUUCUUCAAGAGAUUGUUUGUACGGCUCAAACCCGUGACCUCCUCGUCACGCGACAGCAAGUUUAUCAGUUACGCCAAGGUUCCCUUCGGAACUCAUAGUUCUGAAUUGACCAAAAAAAGGAGUUGUGAUGGGAGUGAAAGAAUUGAAUGACGCUUCUGUAUUAUUAGACAGUUGAUUUGUUGUCCUGUUUCUAAGCUAAAUCACUUGAGAUUAUCAUGGUUUAAAUAGGUUCUACUUUCUUUUCUAUUUGAUUUGUUGUUCUGUUUCUAAGCUAAAUCAGUUGAGAUUAUCAUCGUUUAGAAAUGACUUUCUUUAAUUUAUAAAACAUAUAGUUACCUUUGGUAAA